CCGAAUAAUGUGCACCUUCUUGUAGUGGACCAUGGCAUGCAUGCCCUUUGGUCUGCUACGUCUUUCAGCAAUCAAACCUGUUCAUUGUAUGGUGGGAGUAGUUGCUCCUGAAAUAUGAAAAUAUCAAUA
rnacentral:misc_RNA from 1 species